GAUGAACGCUGGCGGCAUGCCUAAUACAUGCAAGUCGAACGAGGACCUUCGGGUUCUAGUGGCGAACGGGUGAGUAACACGUAGAUAACCUGCCCACCAGACCGGGGUAACUGAUGGAAACGUCUGCUAAUACCGGAUAGUUACAGAGGAGGCAUCUCCUUUGUAUUAAAGUCGGGACAGGACACUGAUGGAUGGAUCUGCGGUGCAUUAGCUAGUUGGUGCGGUAACGGCCCACCAAGGCGACGAUGCAUCGCCGGCCUGAGAGGGUGAACGGCCACAUUGGGACUGAGCCCCGGCCCAAACGCCGACGGGAGGCAGCAGUAGGGAAUUUUCGGCAAUGGGAGGACCCCUGACCGAGCAAUGCCGCGUGAGUGAAGACGGCCUUCGGGUUGUAAAGCUCUGUUGUAAGGGAAGAAUAGCCCGGUUGCCGGGUUUGACUGUACCCUAUGAAUAAGCACCGGCCAACUACGUGCCAGCAGCCGCAGUAAAAC
rnacentral:rRNA from 1 species